UACGUAGGGACCGAGCGUUGUCCGGAUUCAUGGGGCGUAAAGAGUUCGUAGGCGGCUGCUCAAGUCGAAUGUGAAAACUCGAGGCUCAACCUCGAGCCUGCAUUCGAUACUGGGCGGCUAGAGUCUGGUAGGGGGAUCUGGAAUUCCUGGUGUAGCGGUGGAAUGCGCAGAUAUCAGGAGGAACACCGGUGGCGAAGGCUGGAUCCUGGGCCAGUACUGACGCUGAGGAGCGAAAGCGUGGGGAGCAAACGGG
rnacentral:rRNA from 1 species